AUGUGGCUUCUCCUCACUCUCUCCUUCCUGCUGGCAUCCACAGCAGCCCAGGAUGGUGACAAGUUGCUGGAAGGUGACGAGUGUGCACCCCACUCCCAGCCAUGGCAAGUGGCCCUCUACGAGCGUGGACGCUUUAACUGUGGCGCUUCCCUCAUCUCCCCACACUGGGUGCUGUCUGCGGCCCACUGCCAAAGCCGCUUCAUGAGAGUGCGCCUGGGAGAGCACAACCUGCGCAAGCGCGAUGGCCCAGAGCAACUACGGACCGCGUCUCGGGUCAUUCCACACCCGCGCUACGAAGCGCGCAGCCACCGCAACGACAUCAUGUUGCUGCGUCUAGUCCAGCCCGCACGCCUGACCCCCCAGGUGCGCCCCGCGGUGCUACCCACGCGUUGCCCCCACCCGGGGGAGGCCUGUGUGGUGUCUGGCUGGGGCCUGGUGUCCCACAACGAGCCUGGGACCGCUGGGAGCCCCCGGUCACAAGGUGCGUGAAAGGAUGGAGCUGGAUGCGAGGCCUCAAGGAAUCCUAUGCUCCAGGGCUCUUGGGCGGAGGGGACAAGGGCCGGAAUUUAUGGAUCUGCUCCAAGUCCACUGUCUUCCCCAGUGAGUCUCCCAGAUACGUUGCAUUGUGCCAACAUCAGCAUUAUCUCGGACACAUCUUGUGACAAGAGCUACCCAGGGCGCCUGACAAACACCAUGGUGUGUGCAGGCGCGGAGGGCAGAGGCGCAGAAUCCUGUGAGGGUGACUCUGGGGGACCCCUGGUCUGUGGGGGCAUCCUGCAGGGCAUUGUGUCCUGGGGUGACGUCCCUUGUGACAACACCACCAAGCCUGGUGUCUAUACCAAAGUCUGCCACUACUUGGAGUGGAUCAGGGAAACCAUGAAGAGGAACUGACUAUUCUAGCCUAUCUCCUGUGCCCCUGACUGAGCAGAAGCCCCCACAGCUGGCCAGCAGCCCCGCCUGACAUGGAACAGAACGGAGCCAUCCCCCAAGACCCUGUCCAAGGCCCAGAUGUUAGCCAAGGACUUGUCCCACCUGAGGACAAAGCUGGCGCUCAAGGUCACCUGUUUAAUGCCAAGAUAGCAAAGCGCUGAUCCAAGUUUCUCUGUAGGAAUUUCUGUGACUUUUUUCUGGGGUCAAAGAGAAACCCAGAGACACUGUACACUGUUCCUUUUCACCCACCACCCCGAUCCCUAGGUGAGGAGAAGCAGCUUGAAGCAGGGCUCCAUUCAUUCAACACACAUGACCACCCGUGUGAUCUUGAACAAGAGGCCCAAUCUCACUUCGCCUUGGUUUCCUUAUCUGUAAAAUGAGACCAUCUUAUUGCUGACUUCAAAGGGCUGUUGUGAGGAUUAAAUGAGAUGAUUCGUCUGAACUGAUUAAAAUCGUGUCUGGCACUGA
rnacentral:sRNA from 1 species